UCCGGUUUGACACCGGCAGUCUCCUAUGAGUCCCCGCCAUUACGCGCUGGCAACAUAGAACGAGGGUUGCGCUCGUUGCGGGACUUAACCCAACAUCUCACGACACGAGCUGACGACAACCAUGCACCACCUGUGAACCAACCCCAAAGGGGAAACCACAUUUCUGCGGCGGUCUGGUCCAUGUCAAGCCUUGGUAAGGUUCUUCGCGUUGCAUCGAAUUAAUCCACAUGCUCCGCCGCUUGUGCGGGCCCCCGCCAAUUCCUUUGAGUUUCAACCUUGCGGUCGUACUUCCCAGGUGGGAUACUUAAUGCUUUCGCUCAGACACACAUUGUCAUAUCACGUAUGUCGAGUAUCCAUCGUUUAGGGCGUGGACUAC
rnacentral:misc_RNA from 1 species